rnacentral:rRNA from 1 species
CCUACGGUGGCUGCAGUGGGGGAUAUUGCACAAUGGGGGGAACCCUGAUGCAGCGACGCCGCGUGGGUGAAGGAGCGUUUCGGCGCGUAAAGCCCUAUCGGCAGGGAAGAAGAUGACGGUACCUGACCAAGAAGCCCCGGCUAACUACGUGCCAGCAGCCGCGGUAAUACGGAGGAUGCGCGCGUUAUUCGGAUUUAUUGGGUUUAAAGGGUGCGUAGGCGGGACCUUAAGUCAGCGGUAAAAUUGCGGUGCUCAACGCCGUAGAGCCGUUGAAACUGGGGCUCUUGAGUGUGCGAGAAGUAUGCGGAAUGCGUGGUGUAGCGGUGAAAUGCAUAGAUAUCACGCAGAACCCCGAUUGCGAAGGCAGCAUACCGGCGCUCAACUGACGCUGAGGCACGAAAGUGCGGGUAUCGAACAGGAUUAGAUACCCUGGUAGUC